rnacentral:tRNA from 1 species
GCGCUUUUAGCUCAGUUGGUAGAGCAACUGACUCUUAAUCAGUUUGUCCCGGGUUCGAUUCCCUGAAAGUGCG